UAAGCAUAUCAAUAAGCGGAGGAAAAGAAACUAACAAGGAUUCCCCUAGUAACUGCGAGUGAAGCGGGAAAAGCUCAAAUUUAAAAUCUGGUGGCCUCUGGUCGCCCGAGUUGUAAUUUAGAGAAGCGUCUUCCGCGCUGGACCAUGCACAAGUCUCCUGGAAUGGAGCSUCAUAGAGGGUGAGAAUCCCGUCUUUGGCAUGGAUGCACCAGGGCUUUCGUGAUGCGCUCUCAAAGAGUCGAGUUGUUUGGGAAUGCAGCUCAAAAUGGGUGGUGAACUCCAUCUAAAGCUAAAUAUAGGCGAGAGACCGAUAGCGAACAAGUACCGUGAGGGAAAGAUGAAAAGCACUUUGGAAAGAGAGUGAAACAGUACGUGAAAUUGUUGAAAGGGAAACGCUUGAAGUCAGUCGCGUCGACCGAGACUCAGCCUCGCCUUGGCUUGGUGUACUUCUCGGCCGACGGGUCAGCGUCAAUUUUGCCCCUCGGAUAAUGGCAAGGGAAAGGUAGCACCUUUAUAGGUGUGUUAUAGUCUCUUGUCGCAUGCGAGGGUCGGGAUUGAGGAACUCAGCACGCACCUCUCGGUGUCGGGGCUUCGGCCCACGCUACGUGCUUAGGAUGCUGGCGUAAUGGCUUUAAACGACCCGUCUUGAAACACGGACCAAGGAGUCUAACAUGCCCGCGAGUGUUCGGGUGGAAAACCCGUGCGCGUAAUGAAAGUAAAAGUUGGGACCUCUGUCGUGGGGGGCACCGACGCCCGGACCAGACCUUCUGUGACGGAUCUGCGGUAGAGCGUGCAUGUUGGGACCCGAAAGAUGGUGAACUAUGCCUGAAUAGGGUGAAGCCAGAGGAAACUCUGGUGGAGGCUCGUAGCGAUUCUGACGUGCAAAUCGAUCGUCAAAUUUGGGUAUAGGGGCGAAAGACUAAUCGAACCAUCUAGUAGCUGGUUCCUGC
rnacentral:rRNA from 1 species